GANNGNNGCUAUCAUGCAGUCGAACGAACUCUGGUAUUGAUUGGUGCUUGCAUCAUGAUUUACAUUUGAGUGAGUGGCGAACUGGUGAGUAACACGUGGGAAACCUGCCCAGAAGCGGGGGAUAACACCUGGAAACAGAUGCUAAUACCGCAUAACAACUUGGACCGCAUGGUCCGAGUUUGAAAGAUGGCUUCGGCUAUCACUUUUGGAUGGUCCCGCGGCGUAUUAGCUAGAUGGUGGGGUAACGGCUCACCAUGGCAAUGAUACGUAGCCGACCUGAGAGGGUAAUCGGCCACAUUGGGACUGAGACACGGCCCAAACUCCUACGGGAGGGCAGCAGUAA
rnacentral:rRNA from 1 species